rnacentral:lncRNA from 10 species
UCAAGCAAUUCUUGUGCUCCAGCCUCUCAAGCUCACACCAUGCCUCGCUAAUUUUUGUAUUUUUAGUAGAGACAGGGUUUUGCCAUUUUGGCCAGGCUAGUCUUGAACUUCUGGCCUCAAGUGAUCCUCCUGCCUCCAAAAGUGCUGAGAUUACAGGCAUGAGCCACCAUGCCCGCCUCCUUUUUUCUUACAUUGCUUUGAAGAAAUAAAAAUCUUUUUCAAAUUGAUUACUUUGAUUAUUCAAUUUGCUUCGAUGUGACCUCUGAUCAUAGGUUGUAUAACAGUGGUGUAGUCUUUGCAGUG